CAACUGUUCCCCUGCACAGGUUUUGAAUAUUAUGUGUCAUGUGCAUUGUGGGUGAACACGUCAUGGGAACCUCCAAAGGUCCUGUAGCAAAACCAUAGAGUUCUAAACCUAAUCACGUGACCUGCAGGUCCUGCUACGCCUGAACAGGCAGAGAGAAAACACGCUACUCCAAUAACAACCUGAGCAGAAUCUCCUCCUGGACCCUGAAGCUAUUACCUUGGAAUGCGAACCGCAGGCCAGCUGUGCUGCCCAUUUCAAAUUGCAGCAAACAAUUACUAUUAACAGGCCUGUUGUUGAACAUGAAUUAUUCUCCAGGAUCCAUUACAAAAACAUAUUGUUCCAUUCUAUCAGGUGUUAGUUGAAGGCCACGAUAACUUAUGCAUGCCCAUUUAUUAUUUUACACUCAAGGGAAAGGCUCCACCCACUAGAAGCGAAAACAUAAGCGCGCUUUGUCACAAACUCUACUGCAUCUGCCCAUGCCAAGAAAACAACGGAAAGAUGACAUGUUGGGACACCUCAGUAAUAAUAUUACAGUGUACCAGGGGGCCGGAUAAUCCCAUAGGAGAAGGUGAUUUAAAGCACAUUAAUUGUACGGUAGAUCUACUUCAAAAUACAGCAGGAAUAUUACGAAAUACAAAACACCAUUGACCUUGUCAGAAUCUUCUGCCUGUGAAUAAUCUAGAGGUCCAAGUUUAAAGUGUACCUGUCGUCAACAAAAACGUUUUAUAUAAUGUAGAUAAUACCAUUAAAUGUAUAUUUGUAAUAUAUAUUGGUUAAAAAAUAUGUAUAUUUUUGUCCCUGCGGCUAUUGCUUGUGUGUCUCUAUGAGGAGUCCAAAUACAGGAAGUGAGGG